rnacentral:rRNA from 1 species
GACGAACGCUGGCGGCGUGCUUAACACAUGCAAGUCGAACGGAAAGGCCCUGCUUUUGUGGGGUGCUCGAGUGGCGAACGGGUGAGUAACACGUGAGUAACCUGCCCUUGACUUUGGGAUAACUUCAGGAAACUGGGGCUAAUACCGGAUAGGAGCUCCUGCUGCAUGGUGGGGGUUGGAAAGUUUCGGCGGUUGGGGAUGGACGUGGGGGUUAUCAGCUUGGUGGUGGGGUAGUGGCUUACGAAGGCUUUGACGGGUAGCCGGCAUGAGAGGGUGACCGGGGACAUGGGUACUACGGUACGGCCCAGACUGCAAUGGGAGGCAACAGUGGAGAGUAUUGCACAAUGAUGGGAAGCGUGAUGCAGCAGCGCCGCGUGCGUGAUGACGGCCUUCGGGUUGUGAACCGCUUUCGCCUGUGACGAAGCGGGAGUGACGGUAAUGGGUAAAGAAGCACCGGCUAACUACGUG